rnacentral:rRNA from 1 species
AUUGAACGCUGGCGGCAGGCCUAACACAUGCAAGUCGGACGGUAGCACAGAGAGCUUGCUCUCGGGUGACGAGUGGCGGACGGGUGAGUAAUGUCUGGGGAUCUGCCCGAUAGAGGGGGAUAACCACUGGAAACGGUGGCUAAUACCGCAUAACGUCGCAAGACCAAAGAGGGGGACCUUCGGGCCUCUCACUAUCGGAUGAACCCAGAUGGGAUUAGCUAGUAGGCGGGGUAACGGCCCACCUAGGCGACGAUCCCUAGCUGGUCUGAGAGGAUGACCAGUCACACUGGAACGGAGACACGGUCCAGACUCCUACGGGAGGCAGCAGUGGGGAAUAUUGCACAAUGGGCGCAAGCCUGAUGCAGCCAUGCCGCGUGUAUGAAGAAGGCCUUCGGGUUGUAAAGUACUUUCAGCGGGGAGGAAGGCGAUGUGGUUAAUAACCGCGUCGAUUGACGUUACCCGCAGAAGAAGCACCGGCUAACUCCGUGCCAGCCGCCGCAGUAA